GUUGGGCAUGGUGGUGCAUGCCUGUAGUCCCAGCUACUCAGGAGACUGAGGCAGGAGGAUCACUUGAGCCUGGGAGAUUGAGAGUGCCGUGAACUAUGGUUGUGCCACUGCACUCCAGCCUGAGGGACAGAGUGAGACCCUGUCUCAA
rnacentral:SRP_RNA from 2 species